rnacentral:rRNA from 1 species
GAUGAACGCUGGCGGCGUGCCUAAUACAUGCAAGUCGAGCGAACAGACGAGGAGCUUGCUCCUCUGACGUCAGCGGCGGACGGGUGAGUAACACGUGGAUAACCUACAUAUAAGACUGGGAUAACUUCGGGAAACCGGAGCUAAUACCGGAUAAUAUAUUGAACCGCAUGGUUCAAUAGUGAAAGACGGUUUUGCUGUCACUUAUAGAUGGAUCCGCGCCGCAUUAGCUAGUUGGUAAGGUAACGGCUUACCAAGGCAACGAUGCGUAGCCGACCUGAGAGGGUGAUCGGCCACACUGGAACUGAGACACGGUCCAGACUCCUACGGGAGGCAGCAGUAGGGAAUCUUCCGCAAUGGGCGAAAGCUUGACGGAGCAACGCCGCGUGAGUGAUGAAGGUCUUCGGAUCGUAAAACUCUGUUAUUAGGGAAGAACAAAUGUGUAAGUAACUAUGCACGUCUUGACGGUACCUAAUCAGAAAGCCACGGCUAACUACGUG